CAAAAACCGAUGAUUAAGAAGAGUAGGCAUGGAAACACGCUUCACAGAGAGCCGCCGAUGGUGGGAAAGCGGCAGGGGUGGCCAUGUUGAAUGGACUUAUGAGGGCAGGACGAACGGUGAACCUAGUAGUGCCUGACGGGAACUCCACCCGUUAUCAAGGGAGCAUGUAUGCUUGUACAUGGAAUGAGUGGACGCGUCAUGCGUCAAUUUGGGUGGUACCGCAGAAGCAAAGGCUUUUGUCCCAGUU
rnacentral:ncRNA from 1 species